UACAGAGGGGGCAAGCGUUAUUCGGAAUUAUUGGGCGUAAAGGGCUCGUAGGCGGCCAACUAAGUCAGACGUGAAAUCCCUCGGCUUAACCGGGGAACUGCGUCUGAUACUGGAUGGCUUGAAUCCGGGAGAGGGAUGCGGAAUUCCAGGUGUAGCGGUGAAAUGCGUAGAUAUCUGGAGGAACACCGGUGGCGAAGGCGGCAUCCUGGACCGGUAUUGACGCUGAGGAGCGAAAGCCAGGGGAGCAAACGGG
rnacentral:rRNA from 1 species